rnacentral:sRNA from 1 species
AGCCUAAACCAUCGGAGAAAUCCGAUGGCAUGGCUCAAAAGACCCAUCGCUGAUACUGAACCCCGCGUUCAGCAACUCAGCGAUGGGCCAUAUCCCGAAAGGGGUGUGGGGCCGCAAGGCCU